CCAAGGUCAACUGCUACCGACUCUUGCACGUCCCGACCGGUGUUGCUUAGCUCUUCACUCCCGAACGCCGCGAACUGGCCUCGCCGCCGCGACUAGUACCUGGGUAAGUUUGCCUGCAGAAUAUCGGAAUGUGUAGUUCUGUUGUGUCCUGCCAAAAGUCCGAACGGGAGUCGCCGGAAGUACUGUAGCUUGCUGGUAAUCCUCGCCGGAAAAUAAGGUACCUGUCCAAAAAAAAACAGAACACACCCACACACACCCACAAAAAGUAGAAGAG
rnacentral:lncRNA from 1 species